UACAGAGGGUGCGAGCGUUAAUCGGAAUUACUGGGCGUAAAGCGCGCGUAGGCGGCUUUGCAAGUCGGGUGUGAAAUCCCCAGGCUCAACCUGGGAACUGCGUCUGAUACUGGAUGGCUUGAAUUCGGGAGAGGGAUGCAGAAUUCCAGGUGUAGCGGUGAAAUGCGUAGAUAUCGGAAGGAACACCAGUGGCGAAGGCGGCUUCCUGGACUAAUACUGACGCUGAGGUGCGAAAGCGUGGGGAGCAAACAGG
rnacentral:rRNA from 1 species